GAUGAAGAACGCAGCAAAAUGCGAUAAGUAGUGUGAAUUGCAGAAUUCAGUGAAUCAUCGAAUCUUUGAACGCACAUUGCGCCCGCUGGUACUCCGGCGGGCACGCCUGUCCGAGCGUCAUUUCAACCCUCAAGCCCUCCUUCGGGAUGGGCCUGGUGUUGGGGCUCGGCCGCCAUCUGCGGCGGCCGUCCCCUAAAUACAGUGGCGGUCACGUCGCGACUCCUUUGCGUAGUAGAAACACCUCGCUCCGGAUAGCAACGCGGUCCACGCCGUAAAAUCCCCAAUUUUCAAUGGUUGACCUCGGAUCAGGUGGGAAUACCCGCUGAACUUAAGCAUAUCAAUAAGCGGAGGA
rnacentral:misc_RNA from 1 species